AUGAAGACGCCUCUUAGGUUGUUGGUGCUGUUGCUGUUCAGGAUUCCAGCUUCCAGUGGUGAUGCUGUUCUGACCCAAACUCCACUCUCCCUGUCUGUCAGUCUUGGAGAUCAAGCCUCAAUCUCUUGUAGGUCUAGUCAGAGCAUUGUACACAGUAAUGGAAAUACCUAUUUGGAAUGGUACGUGAAGAAGCCAGGCCAGUCUCCACAGUUCCUGAUCUACUUGGUCCCCAAGAGAUUUUCUGGGGUCCCAGACAGGUUCAGUGGCAGUGGUUCAGUAACAGACUUCACAUUGAAGAUUAACUGA